rnacentral:rRNA from 1 species
AGUGAACGCUGGCGGUGGGCCUAACACAUGCAAGUCGAACGGCAGCACAGUAAGGGCUUGCUCUUACGGGUGGCGAGUGGCGGACGGGUGAGGAAUACAUCGGAAUCUACUUUUUCGUGGGGGAUAACGUAGGGAAACUUACGCUAAUACCGCAUACGACCUACGGGUGAAAGCAGUGGAUCUUCGGACCUUGCGCGAUUGAAUGAGCCGAUGUCGGAUUAGCUAGUUGGCGGGGUAAAGGCCCACCAAGGCGACGAUCCGUAGCUGGUCUGAGAGGAUGAUCAGCCACACUGGAACUGAGACACGGUCCAGACUCCUACGGGAGGCAGCAGUGGGGAAUAUUGGACAAUGGGCGAAAGCCUGAUCCAGCAAUACCGCGUGGGUGAAGAAGGCCUUCGGGUUGUAAAGCCCUUUUGUUGGGAAAGAAAAGCAGCAGGUUAAAACCCCGAUGUUCUGACGGUACCCAAAGAAUAAGCACCGGCUAACUUCGUG